rnacentral:rRNA from 1 species
AGCAUAUCAAUAAGCGGAGGAAAAGAAACUAACAAGGAUUCCCCUAGUAACUGCGAGUGAAGAGGGAAAAGCUCAAAUUUUGAAUCCGGCGGUCUUUGGCCGUCCGAGUUGUAAUCUAGAGAAGCGUCUUCCGCGCUGGACCGUGUAUAAGUUUCCUGGAAUGGAACGUCGUAGAGGGUGAGAAUCCCGUCUUUGACACGGACUCCCAGGGCUAUGUGAUGCGCUCUCGACGAGUCGAGUUGUUUGGGAAUGCAGCUCAAAUAGGGUGGUAAAUUCCAUCUAAAGCUAAAUACAGGCGAGAGACCGAUAGCGAACAAGUACCGUGAGGGAAAGAUGAAAAGAACUUUGGAAAGAGAGUUAAACAGUACGUGAAAUUGCUGAAAGGGAAACGCUUGAUGUCAGUCGCGUUUGCCGGGGAUCAGCCUUGUUUGACUGCUC